rnacentral:rRNA from 2 species
UUGAUCCUGGCUCAGGAUGAACGCUGGCGGCGUGCCUAAAUACAUGCAAGUCGAACGAGUUCUCGUUGAUGAUCGGUGCUUGCACCGAGAUUCAACAUGGAACGAGUGGCGGACGGGUGAGUAACACGGGUAACCUGCCCUUAAGUGGGGGAUAACAUUUGGAAACAGAUGCUAAUACCGCAUAGAUCCAAGAACCGCAUGGUUCUUGGCUGAAAGAUGGCGUAAGCUAUCGCUUUUGGAUGGACCCGCGGCGUAUUAGCUAGUUGGUGAGGUAAUGGCUCACCAAGGCGAUGAUACGUAGCCGAACUGAGAGGUUGAUCGGCCACAUUGGGACUGAGACACGGCCCAAACUCCUACGGGAGGCAGCAGUAGGGAAUCUUCCACAAUGGACGCAAGUCUGAUGGAGCAACGCCGCGUGAGUGAAGAAGGCUUUCGGGUCGUAAAACUCUGUUGUUGGAGAAGAAUGGUCGGCAGAAGUUAACUGUUGUCGGCGUGACGGUAUCCAACCAGAAAGCCACGGCUAACUACGUGCCAGCAGCCGCGGUAAUACGUAGGUGGCAAGCGUUAUCCGGAUUUAUUGGGCGUAAAGCGAGCGCAGGCGGUUUUUUAAGUCUGAUGUGAAAGCCCUCGGCUUAACCGAGGAAGCGCAUCGGAAACUGGGAAACUUG